CAUGCUAGAGCACUUUUUCAAUGUGCUCCCCAAUGAAAAGGCGACGACGCAUUCGUAUGUCAAUCCUUAUCAACUUUUGAUGCCAUUGUUGCGCAUACCAUGGUGACCAUGGGUAACGGGGAAUCAGGGUUCAAUUCCAUACAGGGACCCUGACAAAUGGCUACCACAUGCAAGGAAAGCAG